CAGGGAGGUAGUGACAAGAAAUAUCAAUGCAGAGCAUAUUGUUUUGCAAUUGGAAUGAGUAAGAUGUAACUCCCCUUGCGAGUAUCAAUUGGAGGGCAAGUCUGGUGCCAGCAGCCGCGGUAAUUCCAGCUCCAAUAGCGUAUAUUAAAGUUGUUGCAGUUAAAAAGCUCGUAGUUGAAUUUCUGUUGUUAAAAGUGAGUCAUGACACUUCAAUGUGCUAUACAAAGCUUUUAACGGCAAUUCUCUGAAUAUCGUUUGUGGGAAACCGCAGCCGACUUUAGAGGUGUUACUUUGAGAAAAUUAGAGUGUUUCAAGCAGGCAUUUUGCCCUGAAUACUCCAGCAUGGAAUAACAUGAAAGGACUAUGGUUCUUCUUGUCGGUUUAAGGACCAAGUAAUGAUUAACAGGGACAGUUGGGGGCAUUCGUAUUUAGUAGCUAGAGGUGAAAUUCUUAGACCUACUAAAGACGAACUACUGCGAAAGCAUCUGCCAAGGAUGUUUUCAUUAAUCAAGAACGAAAGUUAAGGGAUCGAAGACGAUCAGAUACCGUCGUAGUCUUAACCAUAAACGAUGCCGACUAGAGAUUGGAAGCUGUCAAAAAUACGCCGCUUUCAGCACCUUGAGAGAAAUCAAAGUCUUGG
rnacentral:rRNA from 1 species